GAAGGGAUGUGGCUUGGUGAGGUUUUUCUUUUUUUUUUGGAACUGGGGAUUUAAUCCAGGGGUGCUUUACCACUGAGCCAAAUCCCAGCCCUUUUUGUUUUUAUUUUUUGAUUUUGAGACAGGGUCUCAGUAAAUUGUUUAGGGCCUUGCUAAAUUGAUGAGGCUGGCCUCCAAUUUUCAAUCCUCCUGCCUCAGCCGCAAAGCCACCGGGAUUACACACGUGCCCCACUGCACUCCACUUGGUGAGGUUUUAAUGUCUUCCCAGGUUAAAAUAAAAAGUUAAUCAUCUCCUAAGCACCCUCCCUUUUUUAAACAAAUUUUUACUUUGGUAAUAGAUUCAAGUUCACAGAGAAACUGGGACAGUAGUAGAAGGUUCCCACACACCGUCCCCCAACUUCCCCUAUGACGCCGUCUCCCAUGAGCUGGGUGCCUUAGCACAAUUAAUGAACCAACACGGUAACCUGGGGACAGAAAGCCACGCCGCGGGGUGUGCCACUUGGCAUGCUGCACACUCUGCACCGAAGGACACCAGAGGACCUCGGUGGCCCAGUCUCUCUGGCCUCCACCCUGUCCUUCUGUCUCCUGCACCCACAAGGUGGGACAGAGAAACAGACCCCUCCCCAAAGCCGGCCUCGGGGACCCCCCUCCAACCUUCCCAACCUGCAGAGGAGCUGCCAGAGAGGGCGCCCCACCCCCUGUGUGCCAGGAGAGGAUCAGACCCUGGGCCCGGGGCCUGCGCCAAGCCCAGGAGGAGGAGGCCCACAGGGAGGCCCGGGAGCCGCUGAGCAGUCACCAAAUCUGAGCAUUAAAAUGGCGGCUGCCUCCGCGUCUUUGGUUCUAGAUUUUGGAAGCCCCCUCUGUCACCUGGGGUUCUGAUUCCGUGAAUCUGCUCUGCUUGUCUCCUCGACUGUCCUGGGAUGAAGUGUCACCUGGACCUUUCCGCCACUGCCCUCCGUGAUCACCAACUCGAGAAGCUCCCCUCCCUCUGCUCUAAGACCCCACCUAGAGACUGGGUCUCCAUCUGGAUUCCUCUUGUGUUUUGCUUUGUUCUUUAUUUUUUGCAGUCCCGCGGAUGGAACCCAGGGGCGCUCGCCUCUGGGCCACAUCCCCCGCCCUUUUCAUUCUAUUCUGAGACGGGGUCUGGCUGGGCAGUCCAGGCUGGCCUCGAACUUGAGACCCUGCCGCCUCAGCCUCCUGUGUGCCACGCGCCCGGCCUGGCUUGUUCUCCUAGUGACCAGGGUAAUGGUUUGGAGAGGACCUGAGAGGCAGAGAGUUCUUCCCAUGGCCACGGCACGUCACGUGGAGGCCACAGACCUCAAGGUGUUCCAGGUGACUCAUGACUGUUCCAGUUGACCUUGACCAUCCGGCUGAGCCAGCUGUGCCCCCCAAAGCUGCUGCUGCCCCAGCCACCAGCACCAUCGUGCCCCGGGGACACCACCAGGCCGUGGGGAGCACCUCACAGGCACCCACGGCUGCCCCCAGAACCUCCAGGUCUCAGACGGUCAGGAGGCCACCUGCGCCCAGCCCUACGCCCUCUGCCCAGGGCCCGGCGGGCUCAGCACCAGAGGCCUGCGGAGGGCACUCUGGGAUGGGCUCGGCGUCGCCUGUGCCGUGAGGCCGAGCGGUGUCUGCGGGUCGGAGGGGGAGACAGGAAGACGCUCUUUACACGGGUGGCCUGCAGCCCGGUAAUGACACGGAACCAAGAGCAACAGCAAAAGUGACAGGCGACAGAGAAGGAAGGAAAUACAGCACCGGGUCGCAGACGCGCCAGCGCCUGAAGUCCCGCAGCCGGGGUGUCCCGACUGGGAAGUCCCAGCGGCCGCUCUCCACGGGUGACACUCUGAAGUCCUAGUCCCAGAGGGCCCCUUCCACACACGUUGGAACAAAGGAAGCUCCCUGACCUAGCGACCCCCUCAAGGACACACUUCACGUCCCCAAGACUGGCCAGAUCCCCCCAGGGAGGGAGUGACGGCCCUUGGGAUGACCUGGAGCCCUCUGUACCACCGGGACCGGCUCAGCGAGCCCAGGCGGCCCAGCGCCCAGCCCUGCGACAGCAGCGCCCCCUGCCGGCCGCGGGCCUCUGGACGCCCUCUCAGCGCCUCCCUCGCUCUCUGCCUCCCCCUGCAGGCCAUCUCGGGAAGGGCGGCUCGCAGUGGGUCCCGAUGGUCAGAGCCAGGCCCUGGGCUCAGGUGGACCUGGGUUCCAUUCUCAGCCCCACCACUUACUCAGGGAGCCUCAAGUGUCUACAGAAAUCCUCAAACUUUAGUUCAAAGCUUGUCAUUUGUAAAAUGCACGUGAAUUUUUAAAAAAUAUACUUUUGGUGGAGACGUAAAACCCUUGCUGGGGAGCGCCGCCUGGCACGUGCCGGCCCUGGGUCCCAUCCUCAGCCUCAUAAAACUAAAUAAGUAGAAUAAAGGUAUGUGUCCAGCUGCAACUAAAAAAUAAAA